AGCCGCGCCACGCCCGCGGGCAGGGCUGCCUGGAGGCUGGCGGCGGGGUAGUGGCCUCUCGCCCCAUGUGCCCCCUCCGCCACGCCUGCCGGCCGCUGCUCGGAGCCCAGCUUCUCCAGAUCUCAGCCCACCCUGGGGUGCAGUCUCCACCGCCAGGUUCUCAGCGGCCAAAAAGAUUGGAGAGCUCUAGCCACCCCAAAGACGACAGGCAUUAGCGGAGCUGCCAGUGGCGGGGAGCAGCUUGUGUAGGGAGCCGCACUUUCGGUGGCCGCGCUGCUGGAGAGCUCAGAGCCGGAGGCAGCGGCGCUGGAGGAGAAAAACGCGGCUGGGCAAUGAGGAGUUCAGAGCUCCGUCCCAGAUUCCAAUAUGGCUCAGCAUUGCACUGGAUUGGGGUCUGGACAAAGAACCUGGAGAGAAUGGAGAGGGCCCAGCAGAAGGAAGCAGAGAGAAACUCCCAAGAGUAACAGGAAACGAUGCUUCUGACUCACCAAAGACCCGAGAAAGAG